UACGGAGGGUGCAAGCGUUAAUCGGAAUUACUGGGCGUAAAGCGUGCGUAGGCGGUUCGUUAAGUCUGUUGUGAAAGCCCCGGGCUCAACCUGGGAAUGGCAAUGGAUACUGGCGAGCUAGAGUGUGUCAGAGGAUGGUGGAAUUCCCGGUGUAGCGGUGAAAUGCGUAGAGAUCGGGAGGAACAUCAGUGGCGAAGGCGGCCAUCUGGACAACACUGACGCUGAGGCACGAAAGCGUGGGAGCAAACAGG
rnacentral:rRNA from 1 species